CCUACGGGAGGCAGCAGUGAGGAAUAUUGGUCAAUGGACGAGAGUCUGAACCAGCCAAGUAGCGUGAAGGAUGACUGCCCUAUGAGUUGUAAACUUCUUUUAUAUGGGAAUACACCGUUCCACGUGUGGGAUUUUGUAUGUACCAUAUGAAUAAGGAUCGGCUAACUCCGUGCCAGCAGCCGCGGUAAUACGGAGGAUACGAGCGUUAUCCGGAUUUAUUGGGUUUAAAGGGAGCGUAGGUGGGUUGUUAAGUCAGUUGUGAAAGUUUGCGGCUCAACCGUAAAAUUGCAGUUGAAACUGGUAGUCUUGAGUACAGUAGAGGUAGGCGGAAUUCGUGGUGUAGCGGUGAAAUGCUUAGAGAUCACGAAGAACUCCGAUUGCGAAGGCAGUUCACUGGACUGCAACUGACACUGAGGCGCGAAAGUGUGGGUAGCAAACAGGAUUAGAUACCCUUGUAGUC
rnacentral:rRNA from 1 species